rnacentral:rRNA from 1 species
GACGAACGCUGGCGGCGUGCCUAAUACAUGCAAGUAGAACGCAGUUGCGAACGGGUGAGUAACGCGUAGGUGACUGCCUCAUAGCGGGGGAUAACUAUUGGAAACGAUAGCUAAUACCUCAUACUGUGAGAUGGACCUGCGUUGUAUUAGCUAGUUGGUGAGGUAAAGGCGCACAAAGGCGACGAUACAUAGCCGACCUGAGAGGCUUCACAGCCAAACUGGAACUCAGACACGGUCCAGACUCCUACGGGAGGCAGCAGUGUGGAAUAGUGCACAAUGGGCGCAAGCCUGAUGCAGCCAUGCGGCGUGUAUGAAGAAGGCGUUUGGGUUGUAAAGUACUUUCAGCGAGGAGCGUUACUCGCAGAAGAAGCACCGGCUAACUCCGUGCCAGCAGCCGCGGUAAUAC